rnacentral:rRNA from 1 species
UACGUAGGGGUGCGAGCGUUGUCCGGAAUUAUUGGGCGUAAAGGGCGCGCAGGCGGCCCUUGAAGUCAGGCGUGAAAGCCCCGGGCUCAACCUGGGAGGUGCGCUUGAUACUCGAGGGCUUGAGUGCGGGAGAGGAGAGUGGAAUUCCCAGUGUAGAGGUGAAAUUCGUAGAUAUUGGGAAGAACACCAGUGGCGAAGGCGACACACUGGCCCGUUACUGACGCGUGAGGCGCGAAAGCGUGGGGAGCAAACAGG